rnacentral:rRNA from 1 species
UACGGAGGGUGCGAGCGUUAAUCGGAAUUACUGGGCGUAAAGGGUGCGUAGGUGGUUAAAUAAGAGGUCUGUGAAAUUCCCGGGCUCAACCUGGGGAGGCCAGAUUUGACUGUAUGACUAGAGUAUAGGAGAGGGUAGUGGAAUUUCCGGUGUAGCGGUGAAAUGCGUAGAUAUCGGAAGGAACACCAGUGGCGAAGGCGGCUACCUGGCCUAAUACUGACACUUAAGCACGAAAGCGUGGGGAGCAAACAGG